GAUGAACGCUGGCGGCGUGCCUAAUACAUACAAGUCGAGCGAACGGACGAGAAGCUUGCUUCUCUGAUGUUAGCGGCGGACGGGUGAGUAACACGUGGAUAACCUACCUAUAAGACUGGGAUAACUUCGGGAAACCGGAGCUAAUACCGGAUAAUAUUUUGAACCGCAUGGUUCAAAAGUGAAAGACGGUCUUGCUGUCACUUAUAGAUGGAUCCGCGCUGCAUUAGCUAGUUGGUAAGGUAACGGCUUACCAAGGCAACGAUGCAUAGCCGACCUGAGAGGGUGAUCGGCCACACUGGAACUGAGACACGGUCCAGACUCCUACGGGAGGCAGCAGUAGGGAAUCUUCCGCAAUGGGCGAAAGCCUGACGGAGCAACGCCGCGUGAGUGAUGAAGGUCUUCGGAUCGUAAAACUCUGUUAUUAGGGAAGAACAUAUGUGUAAGUAACUGUGCACAUCUUGACGGUACCUAAUCAGAAAGCCACGGCUAACUACGUGCCAGCAGCCGCGGUAAUACGUAGGUGGCAAGCGUUAUCCCGGAAUAUUGGGCGUAAAGCGCGCGUAGGCGGUUUUUUAAGUCUGAUGUGAAAGCCCACGGCUCAACCGUGGAGGGUCAUUGGAAACUGGAAAACUUGAGUGCAGAAGAGGAAAGUGGAAUUCCAUGUGUAGCGGUGAAAUGCGCAGAGAUAUGGAGGAACACCAGUGGCGAAGGCGACUUUCUGGUCUGUAACUGACGCUGAUGUGCGAAAGCGUGGGGAUCAAACAGGAUUAGAUACCCUGGUAGUCCGCGCCGUAAACGAUGAGUGCUAAGUGUUAGGGGGUUUCCGCCCCUUAGUGCUGCAGCUAACGCAUUAAGCACUCCGCCUGGGGAGUACGACCGCAAGGUUGAAACUCAAAGGAAUUGACGGGGACCCGCACAAGCGGUGGAGCAUGUGGUUUAAUUCGAAGCAACGCGAAGAACCUUACCAAAUCUUGACAUCCUUUGACAACUCUAGAGAUAGAGCCUUCCCCUUCGGGGGACAAAGUGACAGGUGGUGCAUGGUUGUCGUCAGCUCGUGUCGUGAGAUGUUGGGUUAAGUCCCGCAACGAGCGCAACCCUUAAGCUUAGUUGCCAUCAUUAAGUUGGGCACUCUAAGUUGACUGCCGGUGACAAACCGGAGGAAGGUGGGGAUGACGUCAAAUCAUCAUGCCCCUUAUGAUUUGGGCUACACACGUGCUACAAUGGACAAUACAAAGGGCAGCGAAACCGCGAGGUCAAGCAAAUCCCAUAAAGUUGUUCUCAGUUCGGAUUGUAGUCUGCAACUCGACUACAUGAAGCUGGAAUCGCUAGUAAUCGUAGAUCAGCAUGCUACGAAGAAUACGUUCCCGGGUCU
rnacentral:rRNA from 1 species